AACGAACGCUGGCGGCAUGCCUAACACAUGCAAGUCGAACGAGACCUUCGGGUCUAGUGGCGCACGGGUGCGUAACGCGUGGGAACCUGCCCUUAGGUUCGGAAUAACUCCCCGAAAGGGGUGCUAAUACCGGUUAAUGUCUUCGGACCAAAGAUUUAUCGCCUUUGGAUGGGCCCGCGUUGGAUUAGCUAGUUGGUAGGGUAUAAGCCUACCAAGGCCACGAUCCAUAGCUGGUCUGAGAGGAUGAUCAGCCACACUGGGACUGAGACACGGACCAGACUCCUACGGGAGGCAGCAGUGGGGAAUAUUGGACAAGGGGCGAAAGUCUGAUACAGCAAUGCCGGGUGAGUGAUGAAGGGCUUAGGGUUGUAAAGCUCUUUUACCCGGGAUGAUAAUGACAGUACCGGGAGAAUAAGCACCGGCUAACUCCGUG
rnacentral:rRNA from 1 species